rnacentral:lncRNA from 1 species
AUUUUAUAAAACGUCUCUGCUUUAAAAAAUCCGGUUAUUAUUGUCCAUUCGAACAGUAAGCAAUUUUUAUCUUUUUAUUUGUUUUGAAGUCUUCCUAUAUUAAAAAUGAGAGAGAAGAUGAUGAUGAUGAUGAAAACAAAGAACAAAGAAAGAAAUUCCAUGACUAAGAAAACUGAAGUUGUAUGAGUGGAAUACUGUGGCUUUAUUUUCUGACACUUCUCCUUGUAGAUAGAUUGGAAAAAUCAGUGUUCCUCUUGUUUGUUUUAAAAUCCAGUUAGGUUGAGGCACUUGACAUUUUAACUACAGUUUUAUUUUUAACUUCAUAAGGGGCUGGUGAUGUAAAAUGUGCUGUGCUAUUCUGGAAUGAAUAUGUGACAGUUAUUCUCAUUAAGGACCUAUGGCUGUGGUAGGUACUGGAUUAUUCAUAAUAGUUUAUUGAAGGGACUCCACUACUAUCUGACUUGCUAAAUUAUAAGUGUGUGUAAAAGGAAUAAUUAAAUGUACAGAAAUGCCCAAUCUUUUAUUGAAUAAUAAGGGAAAUAAAAAAACACUGUAUCUCACAAAAAGUGCUUUAGUAUUAAAGUUUUGAAAAAUAUCUCUAAAAUUCAUGCACUGGCAUGAAUUUUUAUUUAAAGAGACUCAACUACAUAAACAUAUAAGGAGAGGAAUUUUUAAGAUUGGCAUUUAAAUGUCCAGCUGGUGUACUUCUGUCAAAAAUCUUACGUGUCCAUACGAUAUGAAAUUGAAACUUGUUGAAAAU